ACAGCAGUAGCCGCGGUAAUACGAAGGGUGCAAGCGUUACUCGGAAUUACUGGGCGUAAAGCGUGCGUAGGUGGUGGUUUAAGUCCGUUGUGAAAGCCCUGGGCUCAACCUGGGAAUUGCAGUGGAUACUGGGUCACUAGAGUGUGGUAGAGGAUAGUGGAAUUUCCGGUGUAGCAGUGAAAUGCGUAGAGAUCGGAAGGAACAUCUGUGGCGAAGGCGACUAUCUGGGCCAACGCUGACACUGAGGCACGAAAGCGUGGGGAGCAAACAGGAUUAGAUACCCGCGUAGUCCCUGUCUCUUAUAC
rnacentral:rRNA from 1 species